rnacentral:rRNA from 1 species
GCAGUCGAGGGGUAUAUGUUCUUCGGAGUAUAUGAGACCGGCGCACGGGUGCGUAACGCGUAUGCAAUCUACCUUUUACAGAGGGAUAGCCCAGAGAAAUUUGGAUUAAUACCUCAUAGUAUUGCAGAAUGGCAUCAUUCAGCAAUUAAAGUCACAACGGUAAAAGAUGAGCAUGCGUCCCAUUAGCUAGUUGGUAAGGUAACGGCUUACCAAGGCUACGAUGGGUAGGGGUCCUGAGAGGGAGAUCCCCCACACUGGUACUGAGACACGGACCAGACUCCUACGGGAGGCAGCAGUGAGGAAUAUUGGACAAUGGGCGCAAGCCUGAUCCAGCCAUGCCGCGUGCAGGAUGACGGUCCUAUGGAUUGUAAACUGCUUUUAUACGAGAAGAAACACUCCUUCGUGAAGGAGCUUGACGGUAUCGUAAGAAUAAGGAUCGGCUAACUCCGUGCCAGCAGCCGCGGUAAUACGGAGGAUCCAAGCGUUAUCCGGAAUCAUUGGGUUUAAAGGGUCCGUAGGCGGUUUAAUAAGUCAGUGGUGAAAGCCCAUCGCUCAACGGUGGAACGGCCAUUGAUACUGUUAGACUUGAAUUAUUAGGAAGUAACUAGAAUAUGUAGUGUAGCGGUGAAAUGCUUAGAGAUUACAUGGAAUACCAAUUGCGAAGGCAGGUUACUACUAAUGGAUUGACGCUGAUGGACGAAAGCGUGGGUAGCGAACAGGAUUAGAUACCCUGGUAGUCCACGCCGUAAACGAUGGAUACUAGCUGUUGGGUGCAAACUCAGUGGCUAAGCGAAAGUGAUAAGUAUCCCACCUGGGGAGUACGUUCGCAAAAUG